UGGGUCCUACGGGAGGCAGCAGUGAGGAAUAUUGGUCAAUGGACGAGAGUCUGAACCAGCCACGUAGCGUGAAGGAUGACUGCCCUAUGGGUUGUAAACUUCUUUUAUAUGGGAAUAAAAUGUUCCACGUGUGGGAUUUUGUAUGUACCAUAUGAAUAAGGAUCGGCUAACCCCGUGCCAGCAGCCGCGGUAAUACGGAGGAUCCGAGCGUUAUCCGGAUUUAUUGGGUUUAAAGGGAGCGU
rnacentral:rRNA from 1 species